rnacentral:misc_RNA from 1 species
CAGCCCUGGAUGCCGUAAAGAGGCAAACCCUAACUUAAAUCAGGGUUCUCUAAGCCCGGGGCGCAAUGAGAUUAGAGAAGUGUUGGUUCUGCUCCUCUACUGUAUACCCGGGACAUGGUAUCCAGUUUGUCCGUAAUGAUGCCAAGAUUUUUCGAUUUUGUAGAUCCAAAUGCCACAAGAACUUUAAAAUGAAGAGAAACCCCCGCAAGGUAAAAUGGACCAAGGCCUACCGGCGUUUGCAUGGAAAGGACAUGACACAGGUUCAACCUUUGAGUUUGAGAGAAAGAGGAAUAGGCCUGAGAGAUAUGAUAGGAAUCUUGCUGAGAAUACUCUGAAGGCUAUUAAGAAGAUUGAUAAAGUUAGAUCUAACAGGGAAGCUAAACACAUUGAAAAGAGAAUGAAGGGCAAGAAAAGCCAGGAAAGGAGAGAGGCAGCAAAGGAAUUGGAGCAG